rnacentral:rRNA from 1 species
AUUGAACGCUGGCGGCAUGCUUUACACAUGCAAGUCGAACGGUAACAGGCCGCAAGGUGCUGACGAGUGGCGAACGGGUGAGUAAUGCAUCGGAACGUGCCCAGUCGUGGGGGAUAACUACUCGAAAGAGUAGCUAAUACCGCAUACGAUCUAUGGAUGAAAGCGGGGGACCGUAAGGCCUCGCGCGAUUGGAGCGGCCGAUGUCAGAUUAGGUAGUUGGUGGGGUAAAGGCUCACCAAGCCAACGAUCUGUAGCUGGUCUGAGAGGACGACCAGCCACACUGGGACUGAGACACGGCCCAGACUCCUACGGGAGGCAGCAGUGGGGAAUUUUGGACAAUGGGCGCAAGCCUGAUCCAGCAAUGCCGCGUGCAGGAAGAAGGCCUUCGGGUUGUAAACUGCUUUUGUAAGGAACGAAAAGGCUCUGGUUAAUACCCGGGGCUAAUGACGGUACCGUAAGAAUAAGCACCGGCUAACUACGUG